rnacentral:rRNA from 1 species
UCUGUUAGAAUUAAUUUAACAGUCUGGUCUGCCCACUGAAUAUUGAAGGGCCGCGGUAUCCUGACCGUGCUAAGGUAGCAUAAUCAAUAGUCUUAUAAUUGAAGGCUGGAAUGAACGAUUGGACAAGGGGCUAACUGUCUCUUUUUAAUAAUAUAGAAUUUUACUUUUAAGUGAAAAGGCUUAAAUGAUUUAAUGGGAAGACAAGACCCUAUAAAACUUUACAAAAUAUAUUAGUGAAUAAGGUGGAUGUAUAAAAUUGUAUUAAUUUACUUUUGUUAGGCUGGGGCGGUUUUUAUAAAAUAAGUUAACUGUAAGUUAAAUUCAAAUAUAGAUAUAUAGGUAUAAUAAGAUCCUUUUAGGUAGAGAUUAUAAGACUAAGUUACUUUAGGGAUAACAGCAUAAUUUUCCUUGAGAGUUCUUAUCGACAGGAGUAGUUGUGACCUCGAUGUUGAAUUAAAGUUUCCUUUUAGUGCAGAAGCUAGUUAGGUAGGUCUGUUCGACCUUUAAAGCU